rnacentral:rRNA from 1 species
GACGAACGCUGGCGGCGUGCUUAACACAUGCAAGUCGAACGGAAAGGCCCUGCUUGCCGGGUACUCGAGUGGCGAACGGGUGAGUAACACGUGGGUGAUCUGCCCUUCACUUCGGGAUAAGCCUGGGAAACUGGGUCUAAUACCGGAUAGGAGCCAUUUUUAGUGUGAUGGUUGGAAAGUUUUUUCGGUGUAGGAUGAGCUCGCGGCCUAUCAGCUUGUUGGUGGGGUAAUGGCCUACCAAGGCGGCGACGGGUAGCCGGCCUGAGAGGGUGGACGGCCACAUUGGGACUGAGAUACGGCCCAGACUCCUACGGGAGGCAGCAGUGGGGAAUAUUGCACAAUGGGCGCAAGCCUGAUGCAGCGACGCCGCGUGGGGGAUGACGGCCUUCGGGUUGUAAACUCCUUUCGCUAGGGACGAAGCUUUUUGUGACGGUACCUAGAUAAGAAGCACCGGCUAACUACGUG